CCCUUAGAUGUUCUGAGCCGCGCGCGUGCUACACUGAGUGGAUCAGCGGGUCAGGUUGCGCGAAAGUGUUUCCUAAUCUUUAAAUCCGCUCGUGAUGGGGAUUGACGGUUGCAAUUUUCCGUCAUGAACGAGGAAUACCUUGUAAGCGCGGGUCAUCAUCCCGCGCUGAAUACGUCCCUGCCCUUUGUACACACCGCCCGUCGCUCCUACCGAUUGAGUGGUCCGGUGAGGCUUUGGGAUCUGAGCGGAAAGAGCGUUUCGCUGUUUCUGCCCGGAAAACUCAGUCGAACCUUAUCAUUUAGAGGAAGGAGAAGUCGUAACA
rnacentral:rRNA from 1 species